GUGGAUGAAGAAUAAUACCAUGCACCGUCAGUACCAUCUAUAAGCUUUGUAACUCUAUUUUCUUUCAUCUCUCCAUUCAAUUGUUUUUGUUCACAGAUUAAUUAAACACAAAAUUCACAACUACUUCUAUAAUUUGUUAUUUCUUAUGAAAACUUCAAUCUUCAGCACAGGUAAAACUAACAUAUACAAGACCAAUUUUUACCAAAUAAAAAAUACAAGACCAAAGUCAAAUACAAAGCUUCACAAAACAAAUACAGGAAAUAAAUAAAAAUGGCACCCCAAAAGAACCAAGACAAAGAUGAUUCCAAAGCUAAUAGGAAGGCCAGCACCAGAAAAUCAAAAAGCACGAUGAAUGCAGAUGAAUGAGAGAAAUGAUGGGAAGAGAAAGAGAGAAAAGCAUAAGGUACUGAUGGUGCAUGGUAUUAUUCUUCAUCCAACGGUUCAGGCAGCUUGCCCACGGUGGGAGACCUAAUCCACUCACCCACCCUAGAAUCCGCCAUAAGUUGGUCUCUCACGCUAGCCUCCCCCAUCAAUUGAUAGUAUUUCUAAUAUUAAAUUUGAGUUUCAUUUAGCAUGGGUAAACUUGAAGAGUUUUAAAUUAUUAUAUAUUGAUUAGGAUAU
rnacentral:lncRNA from 1 species